rnacentral:rRNA from 1 species
GCCUUACACAUGCAAGUCGAACGGUAACGCGGGGCAACCUGGCGACGAGUGGCGAACGGGUGAGUAAUGCAUCGGAACGUGCCCAAUCGUGGGGGAUAACGUAGAGAAAUUUACGCUAAUACCGCAUGAGAUCUAUGGAUGAAAGCAGGGGAUCGCAAGACCUUGCGCGAUUGGAGCGGCUGAUGUCAGAUUAGGUAGUUGGUGGGGUAAAAGCCUACCAAGCCGACGAUCUGUAGCUGGUUUGAGAGAACGACCAGUCACACUGGGACUGAGACACGGCCCAGACUCCUACGGGAGGCAGCAGUGGGGAAUUUUGGACAAUGGGCGCAAGCCUGAUCCAGCAAUGCCGCGUGCAGGAAGAAGGCCUUCGGGUUGUAAACUGCUUUUGUACGGAACGAAACGGCUCUGGUUAAUACCCGGGGCUAAUGACGGUACCGUAAGAAUAAGCACCGGCUAACUACGUGCCAGCAGCCGCGGUAAUACGUAGGGUGCGAGCGUUAAUCGGAAUU